rnacentral:rRNA from 1 species
UAGGGAAUCUUCGGCAAUGGACGAAAGUCUGACCGAGCAACGCCGCGUGAGUGAAGAAGGUUUUCGGAUCGUAAAACUCUGUUGUUAGAGAAGAACAAGGACGUUAGUAACUGAACGUCCCCUGACGGUAUCUAACCAGAAAGCCACGGCUAACUACGUGCCAGCAGCCGCGGUAAUACGUAGGUGGCAAGCGUUGUCCGGAUUUAUUGGGCGUAAAGCGAGCGCAGGCGGUUUCUUAAGUCUGAUGUGAAAGCCCCCGGCUCAACCGGGGAGGGUCAUUGGAAACUGGGAGACUUGAGUGCAGAAGAGGAGAGUGGAAUUCCAUGUGUAGCGGUGAAAGGCGUAGAUAUAUGGAGGAACACCAGUGGCGAAGGCGGCUCUCUGGUCUGUAACUGACGCUGAGGCUAGAAAGCGUGGGGAGCAAACAGG